GCUGAUACAAAAGUGAGUAAGGACAAGAUACAGGAUAGGAAAGCAUCUAUAGCUGACUAUAAAGAAGAUAAGAAGGAUGAUAUAAAAGAUAGGAGAGCAUCUACAGAUGACCAUAAAGAAGUUAAGAAGGACAAGAUAAAAGACAGGAGAGCGUCUACAGAUGAUAGUAAAGUAUAUGAACAGGAUGAGGUGAAGGAUAGAAGAGCAUCUGUAGG